rnacentral:misc_RNA from 1 species
UCUCCGUUGGUGAACCAGCGGAGGGAUCAUUACCGAGUUUACAACUCCCAAACCCCUGUGAACAUACCUAUCGUUGCCUCCGCGGUGCCCGCUCCGGCGGCCCGCCAGAGGACCCCCGAACUCUUGUUUUAUACAGUAUCUUCUGAGUAACACGAUUAAAUAAAUCAAAACUUUCAACAACGGAUCUCUUGGUUCUG